rnacentral:RNase_P_RNA from 1 species
AUAUACCGCCGGUGGUUUUUGGAUCAUCGGUAAGGGUGAAAUGGUGAGGUAAGAGCUCACCGCGGGGGCGGUGACGUCCCUGGCAUGGUAAACCCCACCCGGAGAAAGACCAAACAGAGGUGAAGGGGUUGUCCGCUCCGUUCUCGGCGAAAGUCGGGUUAGUGCCCGGGUAGGUCGUUCGAGUUGUCCGGCAACGGGCAACCCAGAGGAAUGAUCGCACACCGAUCUCGUAUCGGUGAACAAGACUCGGCUUACAGCCCGCUCACCACU